CUAUAUACGGCGUGUCAGCGCAAGCUGACUAUGGUGAUAAACGGACGGUGUAAUAAACCCAUUGGACCCGGGGGCGGUACCCGGCGCCUCCACCAGAAUACAGAUCGGCUAAUGGUUUGUAUUGUGGCGGGGGCGAAACAGGAUCGACAAGGGUGUAAAGAUCGCUCUUUUACUCGGCAUGAUACCACCGUUAUCGGGUCAAUUGAGUAGUUGCAAAUGACAACAAAGCUCAGGGUUAUGCUCUCGCUGCCUAAUGGCGGUGCGGGAAACCCACUCUAAAGCCCUUGGGGUUAGCACCUUAAGGCGGGGUUCGGAGGCACCUGGCAACAGAAGCCUCCACUUUCC
rnacentral:tmRNA from 1 species